rnacentral:rRNA from 1 species
AUUGAACGCUGGCGGCAUGCCUUACACAUGCAAGUCGAACGGCAGCACGGGUGCUUGCACCUGGUGGCGAGUGGCGAACGGGUGAGUAAUAUAUCGGAACGUACCUUAUUGUGGGGGAUAACGCAGCGAAAGCUGUGCUAAUACCGCAUAAUCCCUAAGGGGGAAAGCGGGGGACCGUAAGGCCUCGCGCAAUUAGGGCGGCCGAUACCUGAUUAUCUAGUUGGUGAGGUAAAGGCUCACCAAGGAAACGAUCAGUAGCUGGUCUGGGAGGACGAUCAGCCACACUGGGACUUAGACACGGCCCAGACUCCUACGGGAGGCAGCAGUGGGGAAUAGUGGACAAUGGGGGCAACCCUGAUCCAGCAAUGCCGCGUGAGUGAAGAAGGCCUUCGGGUUGUAAAGCUCUUUUGUCAGGGAAGAAACAGCAGCUCUAACACAGUUUGCGAAUGACGGUACCUGAAGAAUAAGCACCGGCUAACUACGUGCCAGCAGCCGCGGUAA